UCUGCUUCUCGGCCUUUUGGCUAAGAUCAAGUGUAGUAUCUGUCAUGGGGUUGUCUGCUUUUGGGGCAGGGGCCUGGUAGGAAUUUGUCCAAUUGGCUGAUGGCUGGUGCCAUUUGGUUUUUGCCUACUGUGUAGCAAAUUGUCACAACUUGU
rnacentral:snRNA from 1 species